UCUGGUGAUUAGAGCGGCAGGGACACACCCGGUCCCAUCUCGAACCCGGUCGUUAAGCCUGCCAGCGCCGAUGAUACUGCCGGGGCAGCCCGGUGGGAACGUAGGCCAUCGCCAGAA
rnacentral:rRNA from 1 species